rnacentral:rRNA from 1 species
UACGGAGGUGGCAAGCGUUGCUCGGAAUCACUGGGCGUAAAGGGCGCGUAGGCGGGGAGGUAAGUCGGGUGUGAAAUCCCUCGGCCCAACUGAGGAACUGCGCCCGAGACUGCUUUUCUUGAGUCCCGGAGAGGAAGAUGGAAUUCCCGGUGUAGCGGUGAAAUGCGCAGAUAUCAGGAAGAACACCUAUGGCGAAGGCAGCUCUCUGGGACGGUACUGACGCUGAGACGCGAAAGCGUGGGGAGCGAACAGG